UGCCCAGGGCGACACACGUGCUACAAUGGCAUAUACAAUGAGACGCAAUACCGCGAGGUGGAGCAAAUCUAUAAAAUAUGUCCCAGUUCGGAUUGUUCUCUGCAACUCGAGAGCAUGAAGCCGGAAUCGCUAGUAAUCGUAGAUCAGCCAUGCUACGGUGAAUACGUUCCCGGGUCUUGUACUCACCGCCCGUCACACCAUGGGAGUUGAUUUCACUCGAAGCCGGAAUACUAAACUAGUUACCGUCCACAGUGGAAUCAGCGACUGGGGUGAAGUCGUAACAAGGUAACCGUAGGAGAACCUGCGGUUGGAUCACCUCCUUU
rnacentral:rRNA from 2 species